UCAUAGCUGCAGUGGUGUAGAUAGUUCUUUGAUCUGAGAUGCCUCGACUGUUCAUAGUUGGGUUGCUGUAAUUUGACUGCAUAAUCACUUAGUUAUCUAGCCAUUUGGAAUCUUGCGGUGUAUGUUGGCUACAGUAGGUCCAUUGUAGGAAUAGGGUGUGCAUCAAGAUAGGAUCUGUCGACCAUGGUAGACAGAGAGAGGUCCUAUAUGGUUCAUGAGAUUGAGUCCUACAAUCCAUGACCAUGGUAGGUGAGUGAUAGAAAAGAGUUUUCAUAUGAAUUCGAGUCGAUUGAAUCUGACAUAUGAUGGA
rnacentral:lncRNA from 1 species